AGCGCUGAAGUAGAGAGGCAUGCAGGCACCAACAUGGUUGGAGGAAAACAUUAUUUUGACUUGCAGUUUCAUGCUCAAUCACGAGCUCUAAGGUAUUCCUGGAUGCCGCAAGGGCAGCGCACCUCGACGCUGAUCAACAAUGCUGUUCUACAGCCCUUUCCUAGAUAUGAUGUGUUCAACUCCACAAUUUAUCUACUUCCGUUGUCUAUCCCGGAUUCCUCGUAUGGUCUACUCGUGGUAAAUCGGAUGAGGAGAAGGGUUAUCGUAUUUAAUCCAUCACUAGACGUACGACAAGUGGAAAAUAGCACUCACAACAAAGAGAUGAUGAAGGAGAUCACUAUUUUGAAGCAAGAACUCAAUGAAGUGUUGCAGGCUAGGGUCCUUGGAUGGAACACCGAACUCAUGGAUUGGCGACAAGACAACAUGUCAUUCAAUUUUCGACGGUAAUUUAAUAAAUUUUUCAGAUGAAUAAGAUGCAGUAUGUAGAAAUCUCAAGUUUUUAUUCUGUUUGUCACAGCAAAGACUCGGGUUUCUUAGUUCUACAAGAGAUGGCCCACCAGCUCGGUUCUUUGCGUAGCAUGACCUGGAUGAACACCACAGAUCCAAUUAUGCUCAGGAGCCAAGUGGUAGUCCAGAUGCUCAUGGUGAAAGACAAUCUAGCUACUGGAAACAUCCCUCAGGAGAUUACGGCGGCCUUGAGG